rnacentral:rRNA from 1 species
AGUGAACGCUGGCGGUAGGCCUAACACAUGCAAGUCGAACGGCAGCACAGUAAGAGCUUGCUCUUACGGGUGGCGAGUGGCGGACGGGUGAGGAAUACAUCGGAAUCUACUUUUUCGUGGGGGAUAACGUAGGGAAACUUACGCUAAUACCGCAUACGACCUACGGGUGAAAGCAGGGGAUCUUCGGACCUUGCGCGAUUGAAUGAGCCGAUGUCGGAUUAGCUAGUUGGCGGGGUAAAGGCCCACCAAGGCGACGAUCCGUAGCUGGUCUGAGAGGAUGAUCAGCCACACUGGAACUGCGACACGGUCCAGACUCCUACGGGAGGCAGCAGUGGGGACUAUUGGACAAUGGGCGCAAGCCUGCUCCAGCCAUACCGCGUGGGUGAAGAAGGCCUUCGGGUUGUAAAGCCCUUUUGUUGGGAAAGAAAAGCAGCAGGUUAAUACCCCGCUGUUCUGACGGUACCCAAAGAAUAAGCACCGGCUAACUUCGUG